rnacentral:miRNA from 1 species
CCACUCGUUCAUUGUGAAACU